GCAUCUUUAGCGUAAUUGGUAACGCGUCUCACUUCGGAUGAGCAGAUUAUAGGUUCGAGUCCUGUAGGGUGUA
rnacentral:tRNA from 1 species